AUUAAAUAGGUUUUAGCAAAAAAAAAAAAGAGUAAAACCAUACAAAUUUUAUCUUAACUAUAGACCAUUUUGAAUCGGUUACCCAACCAUUUAAAAUUUUGAUUUUAUUUAUCUAAUCUUUUAAUUAUUUGAUUUGAGUUAAUAGCGAUAUAGUUAAUUAUUUAUUUUACUAAAUUUUUAGUUGCGAAAAUCAUAUGAAAAAUACUAAUUAAAUCUUUAAAGAUAAACGAAACAACGAAACAUUCAACAUUUAAAGUCAAAACACUGUUAACUAACUCAAAUAAAAUAAAUUAAAAAAUUGGAUAGUAAGAUCAUAAAUUUAAAAGAUUGAAUAGUUAUUUCAAAAUAAUUUACAAUCUAAAUAAAUUCCGUACAUUAUUAUUUUAAAACAAUUAAUAAAACACCAACCGUUUCUAACACAAGUAGCAAAUGACUUAAUAGUUAAUAUCCGAAGUCUUAAAUUCGAAGCGUAAUUAUUUAGAAAUAAAUGGAGCGGUCAGCUUGUUAUCUUUUUCUAAGACUAAGUCUUCGUUUGGGAUUGCGGGAAGAUUGCGUUACGUACGGUGAGAAAAUACGAUAAAAAAAUACUUGUUUAUUUAUAUAUGUAAUAUUGCGUUCCACAUAUCGCGAUAAGUUAGUUAUGAUAUUUUUUUUGCGGUUUCACUAGAAAACACAAAAAUAUAUUUCUGUAUGCUUUUAUACCAAUUUUAUUUUAUCUACUAUUGUUUGGUUGGGGGUUAAGGGAUAACCCCUUAACCCCCAUAUUAUCCCCAAACACCUCCAAAAAAGGGUGGGGUUAGCUAAUCCAACCUCAAAUAGGCUAUUCCGGAUUAGCUAACCCCACCUAACCUUACCAUAUCCUAACCAAACACUAUUUUCUAUUCAUAAUAACACACUAUUCUUCUUAUCCCACCUACUCCAACCAAACACACUAUUUUCUAUUCAUAAUAACACACUAUCCUUCUUACCCCAUCUCAACCUUAAACUUAAUUCUAUCCCUAAAAUAAUUAAUUUUUUUUUAAUCUCGAACCAAACGGUAAGAGUGCCUGAUAGACCCCAAUACUAUACUGAGCAUUAUUACCAUUUCUUUUCUUUUCUUUUCUUUUUUUCUUUCUUUUUUUCCUUUUUUUUUUACUUUUUCCUCCCCU
rnacentral:lncRNA from 1 species